rnacentral:rRNA from 1 species
GGCCUCAUGCCAUCAGAUGUGCCCAGAUGGGAUUAGCUAGUAGGUGGGGUAACGGCUCACCUAGGCGACGAUCCCUAGCUGGUCUGAGAGGAUGACCAGCCACACUGGAACUGAGACACGGUCCAGACUCCUACGGGAGGCAGCAGUGGGGAAUAUUGCACAAUGGGCGCAAGCCUGAUGCAGCCAUGCCGCGUGUGUGAAGAAGGCCUUCGGGUUGUAAAGCACUUUCAGCGGGGAGGAAGGCGUUAAGGUUAAUAACCUUGGCGAUUGACGUUACCCGCAGAAGAAGCACCGGCUAACUCCGUGCCAGCAGCCGCGGUAAUACGGAGGGUGCAAGCGUUAAUCGGAAUUACUGGGCGUAAAGCGCACGCAGGCGGUCUGUCAAGUCGGAUGUGAAAUCCCCGGGCUCAACCUGGGAACUGCAUUCGAAACUGGCAGGCUAGAGUCUUGUAGAGGGGGGUAGAAUUCCAGGUGUAGCGGUGAAAUGCGUAGAGAUCUGGAGGAAUACCGGUGGCGAAGGCGGCCCCCUGGACAAAGACUGACGCUCAGGUGCGAAAGCGUGGGGAGCAAACAG